CAGUCGCCGCGGGAAUACGAAGGGGGCUAGCGUUGCUCGGAAUGACUGGGCGUAAAGGGCGCGUAGGCGGAUUGUUUAGUUAGGCGUGAAAUUCCUGGGCUUAACCUGGGGACUGCGCUUAAUACAGGCAGUCUAGAGUGAGGAAGAGGGUUGUGGAAUUCCCAGUGUAGAGGUGAAAUUCGUAGAUAUUGGGAAGAACACCGGUGGCGAAGGCGGCAACCUGGUCCUUGACUGACGCUGAGGCGCGAAAGCGUGGGGAGCAAACAGGAUUAGAUACCCCCGUAGUCCCUGUCUCUUAUAA
rnacentral:rRNA from 1 species